CACUCAACCGUGGACCAGCACUCAUUCCGAACCGACGUUUCGAGAAUCCUCAAGAGAUUUCUCGAAAUCAAUCAGUCGAAUUAAUUUCGCUAAUUCAUUCCGAUUUUCGUAAAAUAAAAAGGUAUUAUUGGCAGCCGACCGAAAUCCGCUGAUCGGAUAACAUCAUGCGAGGUUACGUGUUUGUCAUCUCGACCAAGUUUUGCCAGAUAUAAGAACAACCGGGAUAAAUUCACAUCUGCAGUUUAGGACAAGCAAGAAGACCGCGCGUCUGCCAGCAACGCGCGCGACGGCAUGGAGUGCAUUCCUCGUGGCGGUGCAACCGUGGGGGUGACCGUUUCCUCAAGUAUGCGCCUGGACACGAGGCAACGAUGCUGACAGAAGUUCGUGAGGCAUCGAAGAAGGAAGCGCGGGUUACGAGAGAAAGGGACCCGGAGAACGUGAGAAAGGGAGGAAAGAAGGAGGAGGACGGGAGAGACGCGACGGUGGACACGUCUUAUGCAUAAUUCAUGCAGGUGCCUUCCACGUAUAUUUUCGUGUUUAAAUAUUUGAAUACCUCAUUCGCUGCAAUACCGAGGGAGAACGGGUUAGGAAAAUAUUCCGCCGCUUAUUCACCGGGGUUCUUGGGCGCGGGUGAGACGAAAUUGAGUAUACCGACCUUCGUGCCCCCUGCGCGCGUCGUUUCUCCCUCUGCUUUUUAUCAUUUCUCCCCCUCCUUAUCUCCCUUUGUGCCUUAUUUUGAUAUUGUUUGACGCGCUGAUUGUGAAACUAAAAACAAUGACGGAUUCUCUCCAAUUUUCCCUACACGAUGACGUGGCGGAUAUUAAAAUAGAAAGCGUUAACGAGAACGCGAUAUUCGCGAAAGACGAAAUGAAAAAGCUCACAGCUUGUCCUCGGCGCAUUGGUGAUUAUUUCUACUCUUGUACGCAAUUGUUCAUUGUUCAGCGAAUAAUAAGGUCGAUUACGGCCUAUGCGUCAUUCUCGCACUGCGAAAUUAUCGUAUGCGUGGUUUAUCUGCGGUUUUAUUCUCAAGGCUAUUUAGAACGAAUUUAAAAGAACGAAGUAAAAUUUCGCGUAACUUUUACAAAAAUUGUCCGGAAUCAUUAAACGUCUCGCAAAUUUAAUAUAUUUGAUUUUAUCCUCGUAAGUAUAUAAUUUACAUCGCAUGCCAGUUAUUAUAAAUAAUUAUAAUUUAUUUCACAAAUAUAUCUUGUGACAGAUGAUAUUUUGUGACACAGAUGCAAAUACAAUAGCGGAAACAACAUUGUAUUUCACAAAAGUUUCAAAUAAAACGAUUAAAGCCUUUUGCGCGUCAUAAGCGUA